CCCAGACUCCUACGGGAGGCAGCAGUGGGGGAUAUUGCACAAUGGGGGGAACCCUGAUGCAGCGACGCCGCGUGGGUGAAGGAGCGUUUCGGCGCGUAAAGCCCUAUCGGCAGGGAAGAAGGAGGACGGUACCUGACUAAGAAGCCCCGGCUAACUACGUGCCAGCAGCCGCGGUAAUACGUAGGGGGCAAGCGUUAUCCGGAUUUACUGGGUGUAAAGGGGGCGCAGACGGCAGCGCAAGCCAGGAGUGAAAGCCCGGGGCCCAACCCCGGGACUGCUCUUGGAACUGCGCGGCUGGAGUGCAGGAGGGGCAGGCGGAAUUCCUGGUGUAGCGGUGAAAUGCGUAGAUAUCAGGAGGAACACCGGUGGCGAAGGCGGCCUGCUGGACUGCGACUGACGUUGAGGCCCGAGAGCGUGGGGAGCAAACAGGAUUAGAUACCCCGGUAAAG
rnacentral:rRNA from 1 species